rnacentral:pre_miRNA from 12 species
AGCUCUGAUUGUCCAAACGCAAUUCUUGUUAAUUUUUAAUCAAUUCAAGGGUUGCGACUGGGCAUCGCGGCUC